UGCCGCGUGAGUGAAGAAGGCCUUCGGGUUGUAAAGCUCUUUUGUCCGGAAAGAAAAGCAUUCGGUUAAUAACCGGGUGUCAUGACGGUACCGGAAGAAUAAGCACCGGCUAACUUCGUGCCAGCAGCCGCGGUAAUACGAAGGGUGCAAGCGUUACUCGGAAUUACUGGGCGUAAAGCGUGCGUAGGUGGUUUGUUAAGUCUGAUGUGAAAGCCCUGGGCUCAACCUGGGAACGGCAUUGGAUACUGGCUUACUAGAGUGCGGUAGAGGGGUGUGGAAUUCCCGGUGUAGCAGUGAAAUGCGUAUAUCUCGGGAGGAACAUCUGUGGCGAAGGCAACCCCCUGGACCAGCACUGACGCUGAGGCACGAAAGCGUGGGGAGCAAACAGGAUUAGAUACCCUGGUAGUCCACGCCCUAAACGAUGCUAACUGGAUGUUGGGUGCAAUUUGGCACUCAAUAUCGAAGCUAACGCGUUAAGUUCCCCGCCGGGGAAGUACGGUCGCAAGACUGAAACUCAGAGGAAUUGACGGAGGCCCGCACUAGCGGUGGAGUAUGUGGUUUAAUUCUAUGCAGCGCGAGAACCUUACCUGGCCUUGACAUGCACGGAACCCUGCAGAGAU
rnacentral:rRNA from 1 species